GUCUCCUUAGCUCAGUUGGUAGAGCAACUGACUCUUAAUCAGUGGGUCUAGGGUUCGAAUCCCUAAGGGGACACCA
rnacentral:tRNA from 11 species